CCCCUUGUCUGUCUGGUCUCUGCUUUUCUGUGGUACUUGAAGAGAAGUUGUUCGUGGUGGAUUCGCUUUACUUAUGACGAAUCAUUCACGGACAACACUUUUUUCAGUACCAAAUGCUACCUCUAAGGACUUCCUGGACACAGCGGAACUUCAGGAUGGCGUCUUCAUGUUGUCAGCCACGUGGAGAAGAUAGCGGAUGCUUGACCAGGGACACCCUGCUCGACCAUCUGUAAGUCAUCUGGUCCACUAGCCCGAACAUCCGAUCCAUCUGUAGGAGGCUUUCCCCUGGGCCAUGCCGACUCAGAGGAAAUGGCUCUGGUUCUGUCAACAGAGUCACCCUCCACGACUUUGAAGAGAGGCUGCCUGGGCCCAAAGCCAACUUCCCGAAGAGAUGCUGGUGUCAGCACCGUCCAGGCCUCCUUGAAGCGCUCCUGGGACGUGACAUUGCCUUCUGACGAGUGACCUGAAGCGAGCGGGCCAGCUCCUCUCCAUGGAGUUGGCCGUGGUUCAUUAAGAGCCAAAGGGAUACCAUGGCAUGCUGACUUCAUGGCAGCUGUCGAACGGUGCCCCUGUUGGCGAAACAGACGAACCGCAUCCACCUGCUUAGGGUAAGUGCGUCUCGGGUGAGCAUGCGAUUAACUGUAGUAGUAUGUCACUCGGCCCACUACCCAAUAUGGUUCCACCCCUUUUUUACAGGGCUCCGGGGAG